CAGCGCCGCCUUCUGCCGUUACAGUGUCAUUCAUUGUAGUCACGGUAGCCAUGACACCAGACCGCACUAUGUACACAGCACCUCCUGCCAUCCUGUAUACCCAAGGGGAUAUAUACCGGUUACUUGAAUGUUUGGAAGCAUCAGCAAUGAAAGAAAACAAGGAAAACUCGAGCCCCUCAGUGGCACCCGGUCCUGUGGACCAUGCCAAACCAUGUUGGUAUUGGGAUAAGAAGGAUCUGGCUCAUACACCUUCUCAGCAGGAAGGCCUGGAUCCCGCCACAGAAGCGCGAUACAGACGCGAGGGAGCGAGGUUUAUAUUCGAUGUCGGGACAAGGCUGGGACUACACUAUGACACCCUCGCCACCGGCAUUAUAUAUUUUCACAGGUUCUAUAUGUUCCAUUCCUUCAAGCAGUUUGCCAGAUAUGUGACAGGCGCCUGCUGUCUCUUCCUGGCUGGCAAGGUGGAAGAAACUCCUAAGAAAUGUAAAGACAUCAUAAAGACUGCUCGCGGCUUGCUAAAUGACGUCCAGUUCGGACAGUUUGGGGACGAUCCAAAGGAAGAGGUUAUGGUCCUAGAGAGGAUUCUUCUUCAAACCAUUAAAUUUGAUCUACAAGUGGAGCAUCCCUAUCAGUUUCUGCUUAGAUAUGCCAAACAGUUAAAAGGAGACAAGAAUAAGAUCCAGAAGUUGGUGCAGAUGGCAUGGACAUUCGUUAAUGACAGCCUCUGCACCACGCUGUCCUUGCAGUGGGAGCCGGAGAUUAUAGCCGUUGCCGUAAUGUAUCUCGCCGGACGAUUGUGCAAGUUUGAAAUCCAGGAAUGGACCUCAAAGCCAUCGUACAGAAGGUGGUGGGAGCAGUUUGUCCAGGAUGUGCCCGUGGACGUGCUGGAAGACUGUCAAGUGGAAUUACAUGAGUCUUAUGGGAUGAUGAGGCGGAGUAAAAAAUACAUCUGCCAUCAGAUCCUUGACCUGUAUUCUCAAGGCAAGCAGCAAAUGCCUCACCACGGGGUCCAGCAGCAGUCCCCUCAGGUCCAGGCACAGAUCGCUUCAGUUCAGCCCCAGCUGUCCCUGAUCGUGGAGGCAGCGCAACAGAAAGAUCCGCAACAGUCAGGGGGCCAGCAGAGUAAGAAACCAUCCCCGCAGUCCAGCCCUCCGAAGCAAACCAAGAGAGCGCUGCCAACGUCACCUAAAGAAGAGGGGAAAACACAAGAACCACUGACUAAAAUCCCUAAAGUUGAAGCUUCGCACCCUCCUCUUCCUCCUGUCAUCACCCCAACAGAGAGAAAACCUGUGGCCCCGGCUCUCGCUCCAGGGGAAGGAGAUCCCGUCAGCCUCCCCGAUGCUGCAGACUUGUCCAAGCUCCCUAUUCCUCCGCCAACUCACCCUUCCGCGGUUCAUCAGCCGCCCCCUCUGCCGCACCGGCCGCCUCCGCCUCCUUCCAGUUACAUCACCGGGAUGUCUACAACCAACUCUUACAUGUCUGGGGAGGGCUACCAGAGCCUGCAGUCAAUGAUGAAGACCGAAGCACCUGCCUAUGGGAACCUGCCGCCCGCCUACGGUCCUCCGUCUCAUAUAGGGUACCAUCCCCAUGUGUAUCCACCUAAUCCUCCGCCAAAUGUGCCGCCGCCCCCACCUCCUUCUACGUUCCCCCCUCCUAACCUCCCCCCUCCUACUUCCGUGUAUCCUCCACCACCACCUGCUUACAAUCCAAAUUUCCCGCCACCUAGACUGCCCCCUUCCCAUUCUGUCCCCAACCACCCACCUCCAGGAAUUGGUUUGCCACCAGCAAACUAUCCCCCUCCUGCAGUGCCACCUGGUGCCCAACCUCCCGUCCCUCCCCCUAUUCCACCACCUGGCAUGCCGCCUGUCGCAGGACUCGGACGCUCCGCCUGGAUGAGAUAGCGUGACCCACAGCGUGAACUCUUACGGCAAAGGAUUGGCUGAAACGCUGCAUACGUCCCGUUCUACCUUCCACGAAUUCGUAAACUACAUUGCGAUCUCUGCCCCUUUUUUUUGCCAAGUCUGGGUCCCUAACCUGGCACUGAAUGUCUGUAUUGUUACAAUGUGCCUGGCAGAUAUCCUACAGCAGUGGUCCGCAGGUUGGAGACCACUGUCCUACAGUAUAUGGAAGCCGCCUGUUGGCGCAUUAUCAGCGGCUCCCUCCUCUGCGAUAUACACUGAAAUCCAGUCCUGAUUUCGGCUUUAUAAUGUGAGGGCCAUAUUGGCCGAGCUAAAACCUUAAAAGAAUUAAAAAAAAAUAAAAAUAAUAAAAAAAAA